rnacentral:rRNA from 1 species
AGUGGAUUAGUGGCGAACGGGUGAGUAACACGUGAGCAAUCUGCCCUUGACUCUGGGAUAACUGCGGGAAACUGUAGCUAAUACCGGAUACGACACCUUGGGGCAUCCCAGGGUGUGGAAAGAAUUUCGGUCAAGGAUGAUCUCGCGGCCUAUCAGCUAGUUGGUGAGGUAAUGGCUCACCAAGGCGACGACGGGUAGCCGGCCUGAGAGGGUGACCGGCCACACUGGGACUGAGACACGGCCCAGACUCCUACGGGAGGCAGCAGUGGGGAAUAUUGCACAAUGGGCGCAAGCCUGAUGCAGCAACGCCGCGUGAGGGACGAAGGCCUUCGGGUUGUAAACCUCUUUUAGCAGGGAAGAAGCGAAAGUGACGGUACCUGCAGAAAAAGCACCGGCUAACUACGUGCCUGCAGCCGCGGUAAUACGUAGGGUGCAAGCGUUGUCCGGAAUUAUUGGGCGUAAAGAGCUCGUAGGCGGUUUGUCACGUCUGCUGUGAAAUUUCGAGGCUCAACCUCGA